rnacentral:rRNA from 1 species
GGAGUUUGGGCCGUGUCUCAGUCCCAAUGUGGCCGUUCAUCCUCUCAGACCGGCUACUGAUCGUCGCCUUGGUGGGCCGUUACCCCACCAACCAGCUAAUCAGACGCAUCCCCAUCCCUUACCGAUGAAUCUUUGCUCCUCGUUAGAUGCCCGCAAAGGAGAACAUAGGGCAUUAAUCCGACUUUCGCCGGGCUAUUCCCUAGUAAGGG